rnacentral:misc_RNA from 1 species
CUGGAACGCGCCCCAGGCGCACCCAGAAACCCUUUGUGAACUUAUACCUUACUGUUGCCUCGGCGCUAGCUGGUCCUUCGGGGCCCCUCACCCUCGGGUGUUGAGACAGCCCGCCGGCGGCCAACCUAACUCUUGUUUUUACACUGAAACUCUGAGAAUAAAACAUAAAUGAAUCA